rnacentral:rRNA from 1 species
UACGUAGGUGGCAAGCGUUGUCCGGAUUUAUUGGGUUUAAAGGGUGCGUAGGUGGCCCUGUAAGUCAGUGGUGAAAUAUCUCAGCUUAACUGAGAGGGUGCCAUUGAUACUGCAGGGCUUGAGUACAGAUGAGGUAGGCGGAAUUGACGGUGUAGCGGUGAAAUGCAUAGAUAUCGUCAAGAAUACCGAUAGCGAAGGCAGCUUACCAAGCUGUAACUGACACUGAGGCACGAAAGUGUGGGGAUCAAACAGG